ACUCCUACGGGAGGCAGCAGUAGGGAAUAUUGGUCAAUGGAGGCAACUCUGAACCAGCCAUGCCGCGUGCAGGAAGACUGCCCUAUGGGUUGUAAACUGCUUUUGUACGGGAAGAAAUGUUACUACGUGUAGUAAUUUGACGGUACCGUAAGAAUAAGGAUCGGCUAACUUCGUGCCAGCAGCCGCGGUAAUAC
rnacentral:rRNA from 1 species